rnacentral:lncRNA from 1 species
UCUUUUUGUAUCUCGGGAAAAGAUGUAUUAUAUAAUUGUUUAGAGCUUUAUGUUAGAUUCUGGAUUUAGAUGUAUAUUUUUGUAUCUCUAUUGUGGAUCGCUUUAUGCUAGAACUUUAGUGAUUUUAUUAUACUUGCUCUGAUAGUCUUUUUAGGACUUCUAUGUUUAUUUUUUGUUUAGUAGACGCCUUGUGUGCAUUGUGUUUGUUGGUGUACACCGCGGGUCUAUGCACGCGUCGGCGGGCUUCCGCUGGGCCCGGGGCGUGACAUUGAAGUUGGUGUAUGGUUUAUGAGGUUUGGUUAUAGUUUGAGUCAUGAACUUGGUGUAUGGUUCAUGAGAUUUGGGUAUUGGAUUUGUUUUAUGAACUUGAAUAUGGUUUAUUGGGUUUGGUAUAUGAGAUUUGGUUCAUGAAGUUGGGCAUGGUUGAUGGGAUAUGGUGUAUGGUUCAUGAGAUUUGGUUCAUGGAUAUGGUUCAUAGUUUAUGGUUCAUAAUUUUGGUAUAUGGUUUAUGGAACUUGGUUUAUUUGGUUCAUGGUUCAUGGUUCAUAAGGUAUGGUUCAUGAACUUGGUUUAUGAUUCAUGAACUUGGUGUAUGGUUUACGGGUUUGGUUUGUGGUUCAUGAACUUGGGUAUGAUUCAUGGGAUGUGGUGUAUGGACUAUGAACUUGGUACAUGGUUCACGAGAUUUGAGUCAUGAACUUGAUGUAUGGUUCAUGAGAUUUGGGUAUUGGAUUUGUUUCGUGAACUGGAUAUGAUCCAUUGGGUUUGGUGUAUGGGAUUUGGUUCAUAUGAUGUGGUGUAGUGGUGUUUGGUUUACGAACGUGGUUUAUGGUUUAUAGGAUUUGGUUCAUGAACUUGGGUAUGGUUUGUGGUGUUUCACGAACUUGGGUAAGCUUUAUGAACUUGGCUCAUGGUUUAUGGGAUUUGGUUCAUGAACUUGGGUAUGGUUCGUGGUGUUUGGUUCAAGAACUUGGUUCAUGGUUUAUGGGAUUUGGUUCAUGAACUUNUGGGAUUUGGUUCAUGAACUUGGGUAUGGUUCGUGGUGUUUGGUUCAAGAACUUGGUUCAUGGUUUAUGGGAUUUGGUUCAUGAACUUGGGUAUGAAUCCAAGUUGGAAGUCGGGUUUGGGUUCUAUUUGUGGUUCGGAUUGGAUUUGAGUUUGGGAUUUUAUUUGUGGACUUGAUUUGGGUUUUGGGUUUCGGUUUCGGCUUUAUUUGUGGAUUUAGAUUUGAUUUGGAUUUGGGUUCAAAAGGAUUGCAAUUUGAUUUAGGGUCCGAAGAAAUCCCUUUUUAAUUUUGCAAUUUGAUUUGGGGUCCGAAGAAAUUUUCUUUUGAUUUUAAUUUGAUUUGGGAUCCGAAGAAAUUUCCGUUUGAUCUCUUUGGGGUCCGAAGAAAUUCCCGUUUGAUUCUAAUUUGGGGUCCGAAGAAAUCCCUGUUUGAUCUCGAUUUGGGGUCCGAAGAAAUCCCCGUUUGAUUUAUGAUUUGGGGUCCGAAGAAAUCCCGGUUUGAUUUUGAUUUGGGGUCCGACGAAAUCCCUGUUUGAUUUCGAUUUGGGGUACGAAGAAAUUUCCGUUUGAUCCUAAUUUGGGGUUCGAAGAAAUCCCCGUUUGAUUUAUGAUUUGGGGUCCGAAGAAAUCCCCGUUUGAUCUUGAUUUGGGAUCCGAAGAAACGGGAAAUCUUUGAUUCCCCUCCCAUCUUCUUUCGAAAACACCGAAUCGGUAAAGUUGGAGAUGACGGCGGCAAAGACGAUGAUGGUGGCGUUGAUCUUAAUGGGCCGACGGAUUUGAUUCGACAUUUUCGAAAGAUGUUGAAGGGUCCGAAGAAACGGGGAAUCGAAGAUUCCCCUCCCUUCUUCUUUCGAAAAUAUUGAACCGACGAUGCUGGAGAUGACGUCGGUGAAGAUGAUGACGGUGGCGCGGAUCUGUUUGGCCUUUGGAUUUGAUUUGACAUUCUUGAAAGAUGUUGAAGGGUCCGAAGAAACGGGGAAUUGAAGAUUCCCCUCCCCUCUUCUUUCGAAAACACCAAACCGACAAUGAUGGAGAUGACGUCGGUGAAGAUGAUGACGGUGGUGCGGAUCUGUUCGGCCGGUAGAUUUGGUUUGGCAUUCGAAAGAUGUUGAAGGGUCUGAAGAAACGGAAAAUCAAAGAUUCCCCUUCCCUCUUCUUUCGAAAGUAUCAAAUCGUCGGUGCUGGGAGUGGUCGCGGCAAUGUAGAUCACCCAUUCCAUCAUCAACUACUUCGAUUGGAUAUUGAGAGGUCCGAAUAAAUGGGAAGCCAUUGGCUUCCUUCCACUCUCCUAUCGAAGUCGUCUAGACGAUAUAGAUGACUACGGAAGCAGGGCCAAAAAAGAAAAAAAAAAUGGAGGGGGGAAGAAAAGGGUUUUUUUUUUUUCUUUUUUCUUUUUAAUUUUUUUUUACGUUUUAUUAUUAUUAUUUUUUUCUUCAUUUUUUUCUUUUUUUUUUUUACCUGUUGAUUAGAUGACGGAUCGGAUGAAGCGGCUCGGCGACCUCUCAUCCUUUCCGCAGCUCGGCGAUCUCUCCUUCUUUCCGCGGCUCAGCGAUCUCUCCUCCUUUCCGCGGCUCGAUGAUCUUUCCUCCUUUCCGCGGUUUGGCGAUCUUUCCUCUGAAUUUUUUUGUACGUCGGAACAUGUGUAGGAAUCUAUUUUUUUUCCUUCUUCGUCUAUCGUAUUGUCCUCCGUAUUGAUUUCUAUCCUCAUAUUUAUAAUAGGAGGGGUGGCGAGAGAUAUUUUGAGAAGUCAGUUAAGAAUUCGAAAUUCGAAAUCGAAUUUUGAAUGGAUUGUUGGAUAGUUGGAAGAUAUUUUUGGAGUUCGUUGGGGAUUCGAAAUUCGAAAUCGAAUUUUGAAUGGGUUGUUGGAUGGAUAUGUAUUCAAAAUUCGAAUGGAUGUUGGUUGAGAGAUAUUUUGGGAGUUGGUUGGAGAUUCAAAAUUCGAAAUUAAAUUUUGAAUAGGUUGUGGGAUGGAUAGGUAUUCAAAAUUCGAACGGAUGUCGGUUGAGAGACAUUUUGGGAGUUGGUUGGAGAUUCGAAAUUCGAAAUCAAAUUUCAAAUUGGUUGUGGGAUAACAGAUAUUUUCUAAUUGGUUGGGGGUUUAAAAAUUUAAAAUUGAAUUUGAAUAUGAUAUUCGAAAUUGAAUUUUCAAACGUGGGUGAAAAUGUGGACCGUGAUCCCAUGAAUUGGGUUGAAAUUGGGCCCACUUUGAUGAAACUUGUUGGGCACAAAUAUU